AUCCUGGCUCAGGACGAACGCUGGCGGCGUGCCUWAUACAUGCAAGUCGAGCGGACAGAUGGGAGCUUGCUYCCUKAUGUUAGCGGCGGACGGGUGAGUWACACGUGGGUAACCYGCCUGUAAGACUGGGAUAACUCCGGGAAACCGGGGCUAAUACCGGAUGCUUGAWUKAACCGCAUGGUUYAAUUAUWAAARGUKGSYUUURGCUACCACUUACAGAUGGACCCGCGGCGCAUUAGCUAGUUGGUGAGGUAACGGCUCACCAAGGCRACGAUGCGUAGCCGACCUGAGAGGGUGAUCGGCCACACUGGGACUGAGACACGGCCCAGACUCCUACGGGAGGCAGCAGUAGGGAAUCUUCCGCAAUGGACGAAAGUCUGACGGAGCAACGCCGCGUGAGUGAUGAAGGUUUUCGGAUCGUAAAACUCUGUUGUUAGGGAAGAACAAGUACCGUUCGAAUAGGGCGGUACCUKACGGUACCWACCAGAA
rnacentral:rRNA from 1 species